CAUCUCCCCUUUACGUAUUCUGAUCAUGCUCCAAUUCUUAUAGAUUGUACAAAUCCUACGGUUAGUGGUCCAUUUCCUUUAAGAUGCAAAGAAGUUAAAUUUGUUUAUCUCAUCCAGAUUUUAUUUGCUAAUUUUUUCACAAGUAAUUGGUUAACACCAAAUGAUAAUUAUUUGCUUGGUUUAAAAAACUUUCAUACUAAAGUCAAGGACGGGAAUCACAAUAUAUUCGGAAAUUUAAAAUAAAGAAAGGAUAGACUUUUAGCAGAUUGGGUGGUAUCCAAACUUAUCUUGCUAGAAAACAUUCAACUUUGUAAUUAAUUUAGAAAAGGAUUGAUUAUUAGAAUUAAAAGAUAUUAUAAAAAGGAGAGGAUAAUACGGGCUCAAAAGGCCAUGAUAAAUUGGCGUAGGUAUGGAGAUUUCAAUACUAAAUAUUUUCAAAUUAUAGCAAAUAAAAAAAAAAAAAAAAAAAAAAAAAAAAAAAGUAGAGGAAAAAAGCACUUGCCUUCAAGAUUCUGAUAAUAAUUGGGUAACAGAUGAUUUAGUUUUGAAAAAUAUGGCAACAGAGUUUUACAAGAAUAUUUUUCAAUCGAAAAUAAAAAAUAAAGGAGGAGCAGGUUCUUUUUUUUUUCCCAAAAAACAGGCUAUCUCAUACUGAUGAUCAAUUUUAGCUUUAUUUAAGCCAGCCUUUGAAGAAGUUAAGAGUUGUCUGUUUGGUAUGGAGCCUAUGAAAUGCCCAGGGCCUGAUGGAUUGCAACCAAGGUUCUUUCAAGCUCACUGGGAUUCUUUAGAUGAGAUUGUUCAUAAAUUUUGUGAGUGAAGUUUUGCUCAUAGCUCUUUUCCAAUACUAAUAUAUAAAUCCUACAUCAUCUCCUUAAUACCCAAGUUGGAUAAUCCAACUAAUUUAUCCCAGUUUAGGCCUACAACACCAUGUAUAAAUUGAUUACUAAGCUUAUUUCUUCUAAGCUUCACCCUUAUUUGCAUGAUCUUAUUAGUCCUUUACAAUCGAGUUUUAUACAGGGUAGGGGAAUUGGGGAUAAUAUCAUUAUCAUAAAAUAGAUGGCUCAUAUUUUUUUAUAAGGCAAAGACUGGUAAAAAUAUCAUGGCCUUAAAACUUAAUAUCUCUCAAAAGCAUAUGAUAGCCUAGAGUGGAAUUUUAUUGAAGAAACCUGCUUGGUUUUAAUUUUCCCACAAAUCUAAUGAAGCUUAUUAUGUUUUGCAUUGCCACACCACAAAUUUCAGUUCUAUUGAAUGGAGAAAUCACCAAUGAAUUUUGCCCUUCAAGGGGUAUUAGGCAAGGUGAUCUAAUGUCAAUCAUGUCAUCAUAAAUUUUUGUGCUGUGUCUUGAGCGUUUAUCGCUUUGAUUGAAGAAAAGGUGGGACAAAAACUCUGGAAACCAAUUAAGGAUGCCAGGCAUGGAGAUGGAAAGAAGGAUGGUCAGCCAUCUAGCAUGAAAUGGGAAGCUCCGAAGGAAGGCUUUUCAAGAUUAAUACAGAUGGAGCUAGGAUGAAUUCAACAAUAGCUUCUGGUGGGGGGUUAAAAGGCGUUCAGAUGGCACUUGAUCGAUCAGUCGGAUAUUUGCUUAUUUUGUGAACGAGAGAUUGUUGAAUUUAUUGCUGAAGAAUUAAGGUUGAUUAUUGAUUUCCCGAAUUUGCAUCAAUUCGAUUUUUUGACGUUUGAUGUUUUUGAAGUAUAUCGGCUGAUUUGUUGAUUGUUGCUGCUUUUUUUCUUAUUCGGAUUGAUCAGUAUUAUAACAAGAUUUGCAAGCGGGAGAUUAUUAAUAUUAUUGCUGAAGAAUUAAGUUGAUUAAUCGGUGAUUCUUGAUCAAGUAUGCUAACUGCAAUUCGCAUCAAGUUGCAGCCUCCUGAAAUUCGCGGGAUCUACAGAGCUGGUUAAUAUUAAAGUUAUGUUGACUUGAUUUUCUAAUUGGAAUGUUGCUGUGUUUUGUAGUCGCAUGAACUCUUGCAGAUUUCAGGCGUUCGAUUUUUAUCAACUUAAUUUGGACAUCAGAAGUCUUCCUUAUCUCGUUAAAAAAUAAUCUAUUUUUGGAGUUUAUUUUACUUAUUAUUAAAUUUCAAAUUUGAUGAUGUUGAUUCUAAACUGCUGACAUUUCCUAUAAAUAUUAUCUGCAGUAUUCUAUUAGCAAUGACAGUUUGAUUUUCCCUGUGGUUAGGUAAUCUGUCGUAUGACCUCUGGUUUGCCUUCAAUAUGUUCAAUGAAUAUUGCUGAGAUUUUCAAACUUCAAAAUUAACUUUCAGCGUUUCCAAAAUUGUUUUUAUGUGAGCUUAUCCUAUCUUAACUUUGUAAAUAGUUAGUGCAAUUAUCCCUGCUUCUGAUAUACGAACAUCAAUAUUGCGAAAUAUAAGAGGGCUAGAAGCUGUUGAUUGGGAAUACAAUGAUAUGGUAAAUUCCUAGGAAUAGAUUUUGAGGUUCAAGAUUCCCAAUAUUGGUUUUGUUGCUGGAGGAUACGUCAGUGUUGCUUUUGAUGGUCAUACACUUGCUUCUUGGCAGUUGAAUUGUCGGUGGCUGCUAUACCCAAGAAUGUUAUGAUUUGCAAAUAGGUUUGCUUUAGAUGAUUCUGGUCUACGUAUUUCUGAUUGAUUUGAAGUUUCUGAAUAGCUUUUUUCGACCUUUAUUCUUGUGCUGGUCUACAUAUCUAUGAUAUGGUAAAGAAGUUCUUGAAAAUCUAAAUGCACGGAUGAUGGUACUGUACUUAGCUAGUCAGAUUAUAUUGUUGCUCUACAUCUGAAUUUCUUGCUCAAUUAAAAAUUCUAACACAGAUUCACUUUCCCUUAUUCCUGUUUGAUCAUGGAGUUUGAAUUCAUUUUAUAUUUCUGUGGGAUGUUCAGAUACCAAAACAAAAGGGCUAGAAUUGGUUAACUACCUGAGAUUGGGAACCCUAUCACAUGAGAAGUUUCUAGGAUUUAAUUUGAAGGUGUUAAAUCCCCAAUAUUGGUUUAUUUAACGAUUAUGUUUUUGCUGGAGGAUAUUUCUAUUUGUUGCUUUUGGUGGUCCUAUAGCUGCUUCUUUGCCGUUGAAUUGACAGUGACUGCUUUGCCCAAGAAUGUUAUGAUUUGCAAAAAGGGGUUUGCUUUAGAUGAUUCUGGUCUACAUAUCUACACAUAUCUAUGAUUGUUGUGCUUGUAGUUCUAAGACUAUUGCAGAUGUUAUGCGGUAGUUUCAAGUUUUGUCCCGCCAACUCUUCUUGUGUGUGCUCAUUGAUUCUGCGAUGGUGGGCUCGAUCAAGUUCCCCAUAAAAAUCUAAUUGCUUUUAUGACGGUACUACACUUAGCUUUUUAGAUUUAAUAGUUGCUCCAGCUUUUUAUGGUAUUAGUCAAUUCAGGAUUCUAUCAUAGAUUCACUUUCACCUUUUAUUAUUUAUAAUGGAGUUCGAAUCUAUUCAAUAUUUUCAAGUGAUGUUCAGAUAUGAAAAUAGGACUUGAAGCAGUUAUUCUCCUGAGAUUGGGAACGUUAUCACAUGAGAAAUGCAUAGGGUCAAAUAUUGAGGUUUUGAAAUCCCUGAUUUUGGUUUACUUAUUGAUAUUUUUGCUGGAGGAUAUCUCUUUGUGUUGCUUGUAAUGGUGGUACAGUUGGUUCUUGAUGGUUGAAUUUUCAGUGACUUACUAUACCCAAGAAUUUUGUGAUUUGCGAACAGGUUUGAUUUACAUGUUUCUGGUCUACACAAUUUUGAUUGAUUUAAUGUUUUUGAAUACUUUUUUGACCUUUUUGUGUGCUUGUAGUUCCAUAACUCUUGUAGGUAUCAUCUAUUUGUUUGAUUUUUGGCCUCGUCACUUCAUGUGUGUGCUGGUUGAUGACGCUGAUGGUGGGGUUGGUGCAAGUUCUUCGUGAAAAUCUUAUUGCACGGAUGAUGGUAUUGUACUUGGGUUGCCCUGAAUUAAUUUUUGUUCUAACUUUUGAUGGUGUUGGUCGACUAAUGAUUUUAUUAUAGGUUUACUUCGCCUAUUCUUGUAUGAUUAUUGAGUUUAAAUUCAUCAUUUCCUUGUGAUGUUCAUAUACUUUAAUAAGAGGACUAGAAGCGGUUAACAACCAGGGAGAAAUUUCAGGAUUUAAUUUUGAGGAUUCAAAUCCCCAAUAUUGGUUUAUUCAUUUAUUUUUUGCUAAAGGACAUGUCUUCAUUUUGCUUUGGAUGGUCAUACAUUUGCUUCUUUGCAGUUGAGUAUUUGGUGAAUUCGUUACCCAAGAAUGUUUUGAUUUGCAUACAGGUUUUCUUUAGAUUGUUUUGGUCAGCACACCUCUGAUUGAUUUUGAGUUUUGAAUUGCUUUUUCGACCUUCGUUGUGCCUGUAGUUCCAAAUUCUUGUAGAUAUUAAGUGUUUGUGAUCUGCCAACUCUUCUUGGGUGUGUUCAUUGAUGACGCUGAUGGUGGGUUGAAAGUUGUUCUUCUAGACAAUCUAUUUGCGCGGAUGAUGGUACUGUACUUAGCUUUUAAGAUUAAAUAGUUUCUCUGCAUCUGAAUGUGUUGGUCAAUUAAAGAUUCUAUUACAGAUUCACUUUUGCCUAUUUUUGUUUUACCAUGGAGUUUGAAUCAUUCAGUAUUUCCGUGGGAUGUUUAUAUAGCUAAACUAGAGGGCUAGAAACAGUUAACAAUCUGAAAUUGGGAAUCCUAUCACAUGAGAAGUUUCUAGGACUUAAUAGGUUUGAAAUCCCCAAAAUUGGUCUAGUUAUUAAUUAUACAUUGCCGAAGGAAAUUUCUUUAUUUUGCUUUUCAUGGUCAUAUGGUUGCUUCUUGGUCGUUGAAACGGUGACUGCUUUACUCGAGAAUUUUGUGAUUUGCAAAUAGGUUUGCUUUGGAUGAUUAUGAUCUGCAUACCUCUGAUUGAUUUAAAGUUUUUGAAUAACUUUUCCGACCUUUAUUGUUCUUGAGCCAUUUUCUUUCAAGUGAUCGUCGAAUUCAUGGUUCAAAUAUUCGCCACUUUGAUCCGAUCGAAGUACUUUAAUUUUCUUGCCAAGUUGAUUUUCAACUUCUUUCUGAAAUUCUUUGAAUUUCUCAAGUUCCAAAACCCUGGCAGAUAUUAUGUGUUUGUUUUAUGUUUGGUUCUGCCAACUCUUCUUUUGUGUGCUCAUUGAUGACGCUGAUUGUUUCGGGGUUUUUGGAGUCCUUCGGGAGAGUUACAAUCCCUAGUAUGCGCAGCCGACACCUGUACCUGCAAAACAACGAAGACUCCAGUUGGUGGGAGCUCCGCCUCCGACGAUCAAGCUAGUAUACGUCUGGAGUAGUAAAUUGUACGGAAAUGGUAAAUACUUCUCUUUGGUUCAGAGAGAAUUCCGCAAUGAAUAUUACUCGGUUUUUGUGUAUAGUGUUUAUGGGUGAAUUUAUGAAUGCCCAAUAAAUGAGGUUUGGUCCACUAUUUAUAGUGGGGGGAACCUGUCCCUCAUCUAGGGUUCCAUGGACACGUGUCACUAGGGGAUUGGAGCCUUGUAGACCUCUGAGAGGUUGUCACGUGUCAAAGGGCCAUUGGGCCACGUGUCUAGGGUAGUUUUUUACCCUAAACAUUUGCCCCUCACAGGUGUGAUGUGGCUUAGCCACGUGUCACCUGUGACAAGUUUCAUGCUCUGGGGGAGUGACGGUUGGUCUACUUCCCGCCUUUCUCUCUUCUUACUCUUUUUUUUUUUUUUUUUUUGAAUUUGAAUGUUUGAGGCAGAAGGUGGCGGUUCGCCUUCUGGGUUUCUCUAUAAAUAGAGGAACCCUCUCUCUCCUCCUCACUUUUACAAACUUGCAAAAAUUUUCUUGAGAGCUCUGGUACCGGCUGCUUUUGCGUUCAACCAGCUACUUUGAUUCAGACGCGUCCAGACACCGGUUGAGUACUUCUUCGAUCAUCUCACUAAGGUACCGUCUAACUUAGUCAUUUUCUUCUUUUUGAUUUCAAGUAGAGCCACAACCGGUCUUACACUGUGUGGGGCACCUUUAAGCAAUUUCUUUCACAAAUUGCAUUUAAUAGACCCACAACCGGUAUAUAGGCAUCUUCAAACAAUUUUCAAAAAUUGCAUUCAAUAGACCCUCAGAAAUGUUCCGUCAGGGGGCAUUUCUGAGCAAUCUUCAUAAUUUGCUUUCUAUAGACCCACAACCGGUCUUUUUACCGCCUCUGGCAUCUUCAAGAAGUUUCUUGAUUUGCAUUCAUAAGACCCUCAGCCAGUCUUGUGCAAUCUUCUAAAAAUGCAUCCUAUAGAUACCGUGUGGGGUAUCUUUGAGUAGUCUUCGAAAACAGCAUUCUAUUGAUACCGUCUGGGGUAUCUUUGAACAAUUUUCAAAAAGGCUCUAUAGAUACCGUCUGGGGUAUCUUUGAGCAUUCUUCAUAAAUUGCCUUUUAUAGAUACCGCCCGAGGUAUCUUUAGGCAAAUUCCUUUCAAAAUGCCUAACCAUCUGCCUUUUAACUUUCUAAACAACCACAGCCGGACACUUCCGUCUGUGGUAUCUUCGAGUGAUUCUCUUCGAAAAACGCCUGACUGUUUGUUUUGUAUUUCAGCUUUCACAACAUACGCAACCGGACUCUACCGCAUGUGGCAUCUUCAAGCCACAUUUUGGGAUAACGGUCGUCUUCUACAAACUUCUUUACUACUUCAAGGUACCGUCUCUGCCCUUCGCAACUCUUUGAGUUUUUCCCGGUUGUGUAGUUUGUAUAGUAUAAAUGGGCUCUCCCAUAACACACACGGCACAGCCUAAGACAGAGGUCAGCCGGUCACCUGGGACGGCUGAGUCUAGGACUAGGGAUGUCGUCUGGGGGUGUUUGGCCAGAUGGACGGCAAUUGACCCUGACUACCAGUCCGAUGAUGCAGUCGUGGAUCUGGCUGUCUCUGUUAAUAAUGACCAGGCCGAAGAACCGACUGGGAAUGUACCGAGUGAGGUACCGGGUGUGCCGAGUACACCCCGGUAUCCUUGAUGAAUCUGACUCAAAUGGCAAAAAGUCCGGUGAAGAGUCCGGCUCUGAUGAGUCUUCAUUAGAAUCAGCCGACCCUAAUAAGGAGGACGUCUAUAAGUGGCCGGUUGUUAACAACCCCACUGAAGCAACUAUGACCGCCAGGGAUGUGGUCACCUUGAAUGCCACUUUUCCCUGCGUUUUUGGAAAAGAAACCGGUAGGGGUAGGCUGGGAGGUUAGGGUCCCACCUGUAGAUGCCACGGUUGUCUGGGAAAACGAUUUGGAACAUGCCGACGACUAUUUCGGCUGCUAUGAGGCGGCAUUCAAAGCCGGCCUCCGGUUCCCCCUCCAUAGUUGUAUAAAAGCCAUUCUAAGGGGUUACAACUUAGGCGUCUGGCAGCUGAAUCCCAAUUCCUGGGUUAACAUACUAGGAUACAUAGCCGCCUGUGAGAUGCAGGAAAUAAAGCCUAGCUGGGAGACAUUUGCACAUAUGCACUACCUCGGCCGAGCACCAGGCGGCUGGAAUGCGUGGUAUACUUUAACCACGCACCCGGAAUAUAUGAUGACCUUGGACAAGCCGUCCAAGUGAAGUAGUUGGAAGAGUAAGUUCUACGUAGUCUCUUCACCGACUCCCCAAUUAAAUCGCCGACUGGGUACCUACAAUAAGAAACCGGCUCUUCUUGGGAAGAAGUGCGCUCUUCCAAAGGUGCCGGAGGAGGCCUGGGACCAAAUAAUGGAGACGGGUCUCUUUAAGAAGACGACCCUCCCUCUAGAUGAUGGGAGUGUUAUUAUAGAUCCCAAGUUUUGGGUACCUCACCCGGAUUGGUUCAAAGAUGAGGCGUUCCUGUCCGCCUGUCAUCGUAGUACUAUGUUUACCAAAAAAGAAGCUUUAGAGAUGCUGCUUGCUGAGAAGACACCGGCUACAUCGGCUUCUGCCAUCAGGAAGGAGCAGAUAGAGAAAAAGAAGUCGCAGCUGGCGGCGAAGGACGGCGGGGUAAGCUGUAUUCCCCCCAUUUUCUGUUGCCGGCUGUACUACUUUGGUGUGAGUUUUGUGAUUAACCGGUUGUCUUUCCUUUUUCAGGCGGGGAACAAAAAUGUUCCACGCUCCCUGUCCAAGAUGCUAAAGAGGACGGCUGGGGAGAUAACCUAGCCAGCUGCUAAGGCACCAAGGGUGUCGGCUCCUGCCCCUGCUGCUACCCCAUCCGAGAGGCCGUCUGUAAGUGACAGGCCAACCUCUGCUGGCAAGAGCCUGAGAGGUCUCAUCCCGGCUACCGAGGCGGUGGUCGAGGCAGGAAAGGAGCCAGGUACUCCGGCUGGUCAGGGCCAGACCACAACUGGCUCAAAUGCGGUUGGGGGAGCUAACCCCUCAACAACAUAAAGGUAUGGCUUCCACCUUCGAUCCCCCCUGCCCGCUUGGGCCUCUACGAGUCAAGUCCCAAGUCAGCCAAUCUGGGAUUCCUCAGGCAGCCAUCAGAAUAUAGGCACCGCCUAUGCCCAGUACCUGACCCAUGACUCUGUUGUUGCAGAUGCUACCUCAAGGUGGCCCAACUUCCAACAAUUCGCAAAGAGGAUGCUCCGGACCCUCACCCGACAAGGAGGCGGUGCCGGGUAUGCACUAAGUCAACCUUGACCGCAUCAAUUCUCUCCUGGUGGAGGUAAUAAACCGGCUGUGUUUUUGGCUUGUAAACUCUUUCUUUUACCGGAUAUGUUGCCUUGAAUGGGACUAACUAUUUUGCCGGCUAAUGCUGCAGGUGAUGCUACGGGUGGAUGGUCUAGGCGUGCCCUUGCGUAAAAAGCAAGAGGAGGUAAGGGAUGCCCAGAAACGGGCAUCUGACCUUAUUGAUGUAUGUCAGUUCAACGCCAUUAUAUAUGACAUGGAAACUAAACGCCGGGAGAUGAAACAGGAGGAGCUUCUCAAGGAAGCUAAAGCGGUUGCUGAGACGGCAAAUAAGAAGGCGGCUGACCUCAAGCUCCAGGUCAACAACCUCAAAGCCGAUCUCAAGGCAUUGGGGGAAGCCGACAAAGAGAACACCGGGCUACGCUCGGAAGUCAGCCGGCUGAAAAAUGAGCUUGCCCUGAGCCAGUCGGCUUACAAAGAAAAGCUAGCAGCCGAACAUCGACGUCUACGAAACUGACUGCGAGGAGCGCAUCAAGCUGGCUUGGGGGCUGAUCCAUCCGGAGGUCGAGUAUGACUUCUUCGACCUUAGGUACAAGUAUGCCACUGAGGUAUACGAUGCUAAGGUCCUUGGCCAAGUCCCGCCGGCUCCAUUUGAAGAGUGGGCUGGUAUAGGCGAGGAAGGCGACAAACCGGAGGCUCAGGAUCAGCAGGCGGAGGUUCAGGACCAGCCGGCUCAAAACCAGCAGCAGCAACAGUAGACUUCAUUUUUAUUUCCUCCUUUUACCGGCCUGCGAGCCAUGUAUUUUCAAAUGUAUUUCCCCGGUCAAGGGACCGGCUGACAUUUGAUUUUCAAUGUAUAUUUCCGACCCAGUCGGUUUUCUCUAUUCUUCAUCUUUUGCAAUUUUGUUUAUUCGCAAUUGAAUUUUAAUUUUUACAAGUAAUAUGACUCAUACGGUUUACCGGGUGUGUUGGCUAUAUGUGCCCCUUGACGGUUGUCUGCUGACGUUCCAAGUAAUAUGCAGAGAGUCGUCCAUAUAAACACCCGGUUUCCUGGUUUCACAUAUUGGUUGUGGCUGGAUUAGCAGACGGUGUCUGCUAACCAGUGUUCCUUUGAGCCGGCUGGGGUGUACUCAUUGAGCACCCCUUUCUAUGCCGUUAGAUUGUAUGAGGCCGGUUUUUUGACCGGCUGUUGGUAUUUGAACCCUGGAUUCUUAGUGCUAAGGUUUAAACCUUACUAGAUUCGAUAGCAUAACCGUUUGGGGUGCUUUUGGGCAAAAGCCGGUUAUGGCAUGACCAAGAUUUCAUGUGCCGUCUGCACCGUCUGGUAGUACGGGCGGCUGUAUUUUUGUGUUUGGGAGUACCGGCUGUAAUACUUUGAAGUAAAGCCCGGGGGUACCGCUUUGCAGAAAAGACCGGUUGUAUUGUUUUUCAGUGAAAACCGGUUGUGUCUUGGUUACAAUGGAUCAUUCAAACAUCCACGUGUUAUCUUUUACCUUAGCCGGUUAAAGCCGUUUGAUUUAUGACCGCUAGAACAAUGUACCACCCUAAAUGGGCGUCGCCGGAUGUCAGACGGUUUAAAUUUCAGCUGGCCAGUUAGCCUUUUAUUUUAUAGCUGCCGCCUGUGUAUUGCACAGAACAUGGCGAAUGCCGCCUGUGUUUUACACAGGAUAUGGCGAACGUAUGUAAAAAGAAAAUUUGGAAAUAAAGCAUUCUUAUUAAUAUACUCUAUUUCCAAAAA